rnacentral:tRNA from 1 species
GAAUUCGUUCCUUAAGGUAAGGGCACUUAGCUGAUAAUUAAGUUGAAGAAGGUUAAAUUCCUUCCGGGUUUU